rnacentral:lncRNA from 1 species
GAUUUCUCUUCAUGACCUUGAGUAGACACCUUUGGGUCAGUUUUUUGGGUCCCAUCACCAUAUUGAGUCAGAUAUUGUUCACCUGAAUCCUGGGUUGAGGUAGAUUCUUUUGGGGUCUUGUUACCAUAUUGAGUUAGAUAUUGUUCAUCUGAAUCCUUGUCUGAGGUAGAUUCUUUUGGGGUCUUGUCACCAUAUUCAGCUAGAUAUUGUUCAACUGAAUCCUGAGCUGAGGUAGAUUCUUUGGGGGGUUUGUCACCAUAUUGAGUUAUAUAAGGUUCACCAGAAUCCUUUGGGUCAUGAGUACCAGGUCCAGAAUGGGCUCUGUAUGUAGCACUAUUGGGUUGAUUGGCUUCACUGGUACCAGGAGGAGUAGUCUUGUACCCAGUUAUGUAAGGUUCAUUGGAAACAUGGCUUCCAGAUUUAUAGCCAACAAUGUAAUUGGGUUGAUUGGCUUCACGGGUACCAGGAGGAGUAGUAGUUUUGUACCCAGUAAUGUAAGCUUGGUCGGUGUUUCCAUGGUGUGAUGGGUGGUGAUGUUGUUUGGUGGUUGUGGUUAAGUACCCGGCAAUGUAAGGCACAUCACUGGAUACUGGGGUGGCUUCACUGGUUCCAGCAGGAGUAGUCUUGUAACCAGUUAUGUAAGGUUCAUUGGAAACAUGGCUACCAGAUCUAUAGCCAACAAUGUAAUUGGGUUGAUUGGCUUCACGGGUACCAGGAGGAGUAGUAGUUUUGUACCCAGUAAUGUAAGCUUGGUCGGUGGUUCCAUGGUGUGAUGGGUGGUGAUGUUGUUUGUUUGUUGUGGUUAAGUACCCGGCAAUGUAAGGCACAUCACUGGAUACUGGGGUGGCUUCACUGGUUCCAGCAGGAGUAGUUUUGUACCCAGUUAUGUAAGGUUCAUUGGAAACAUGGCUACCAGAUUUAUAGCCAACAAUGUAAUUGGGUUGAUUGGCUUCACGGGUACCAGGAGGAGUAGUAGUUUUGUAUCCAGUAAUGUAAGGUUGAUCGGUGUUUCCAUGGUGUGAUGGAUGGUGAUGUUGUUUGGUGGUUGUGGUUAAGUACCCGGCAAUGUAAGGCACAUCACUGGAUACUGAGGUGGCUCCAUUCGAAUCCACUUGUUUCUGAUCUUGUAGUUCUACCUUCAAAUCUCUGGCAUUGAUGCCUUGGCCAAUCUACAAAAUGUCAGUGAGAAGAAAAUGAGUGUUCCAGCUAUGGAAAUUAUUAUGUGUAGUUUGACUGAGGGGAUUUUCAACAUAUAAAAGAAUCCUGAAUUAUAACAGAGACAAGUGCAUGGGAGAGUCAUUUGCGCAUAUCAUGUAACUGAGCAAUAAAGGUAUGUAGAUUAUUUCCUACUGAUGUUUAAAUGGUAAAGCAGAGUAUAAUUACUGAGCAUGUGCUUGGAAUGUGCUAUGUUAUCGCGUGUUUCAUGAAAAUAACAAAAAAAAUCACAAAUUAGAUGAAGAUGCAAAGUGUGUGUAGAGAUAUAGUUGAGUGUAACAUGAAUGAACUUUUCUCCCAAGCCAUAAAAAGGUCCGUUAACUUUUUAUCUCAAAGUGCAAUCCUAACGAAUAUUCUGUUCAUUAAAAGUACUGCCACAUUAAAUGAAACCCCAAUUAACACUUAAGCUUGUUUGUAAUAUACUGAAAAUGAAAGAAAGCUCAGUUUAGAAGAAGUAACUAUGGUGUUACAUUUCAGUGUCUAAUGCUUCAAACGAAGAGAGAAUAUCAACCUACUAGCCUGGCUAACAGAGAAUCUCAGAAAGAAAAAAUCUACGGUAAUAUGUUCUGUGUAUCACUGAAUGAAUGGUUAUAAAAAUGGGAUCCAUCACAUCCAAGUCAUUAUGGUAUUAUAAUGAAU